UACGGGGGGGGCAAGCGUUGUUCGGAAUUACUGGGCGUAAAGGCUCGUAGGCGGCCAACUAAGUCGGAUGUGAAAUCCCCAGGCUCAACUUGGGAACUGCAUCCGAUACUGGAUGGCUUGAAUUCGGGAGAGGGAUGCAGAAUUCCAGGUGUAGCGGUGAAAUGCGUAGAUAUCUGGAGGAAUACCGGUGGCGAAGGCGGCAUCCUGGACCGACAUUGACGCUGAGGAGCGAAAGCUAGGGGAGCAAACAGGG
rnacentral:rRNA from 1 species